rnacentral:lncRNA from 1 species
GGCUGAAAGAGCACAUAGUUUCAUCGUCUGUGUUUUUUCAAAAGUCUCGUGUUCUCACUGAAAAAAAUAUAAAAGAUAGUUAGAAGUGUUUAGUGAAUAGACGCCAUAAUCUUGCAGGAAGAAAACUAGGUGGACAAUGGGGUCUCAUCCCACAAAGCCUCCAGCAGGCUCCUUUUAAGUUCAUCUGAAUUGGAUCAUGUGCCAUGCUGGACUCUUAUGUGCCCUUCCCUAGUCGUUGCUAAAACCAUCUUUUUGACAUAAAAUGACAAAAGUGGCAACUGUGAAAUUCUUUGGAUUUUAUAAUAAAGGUAGCCCAUGUUAGCAAGAAGAUUGGGAAGAUUCCCAAGGUAAAUCCCUUAACUGUGCAGGCUGGGUCCUAGAUUUGAUACAGUUAGAAUUUAUGCAGCACCCAACAUAUGCAGGUUAUCACCAUGGUGGAAGAGAGAGGUCUUGACCUCAAAGAGCUGGAAUUGUUAGGGAAAGGGAGGUAAUGAGGGAGGGCUUCCAGGAGGAAAGGAAAGCCAACAUCAACCAGAGCAGCCAGUCACUAAGGGAAGGUGAAGAGGUGAGCAUCUUAGCAGAGACUAGCACAUCAGUAACCCUGAGAAAUGACUCUGCAGUGAGAGACCCUGCAGAGUGAUUAGGUCCAGGUGUUGGGUGAUGAAGCUUGCUAAGUGGAGUGUUUGAACAUAGGAGGACCACUGGAGAGUGCAGGAACAGACUGUUCUGGUUCUCUAUUACUGUUCUGGUUUUCUAUUACUCUAUUACUGUAAAACAAACCACCCAGAAACUCAGUGGCUUUGUAGAAACAUCUUUCACAUUUUCUGCCUGGACUUGGCUGUGUGGUUUCAUGGGGAGACAUCUGUAGGCUCUAUCUGUGCUGGAGACAUCUGUAGGACUUGACGGGACUAGACAUCUGCAAAGGCUCACUCACACGGCUGGCCGCAGAUGCUGGUGUUGGCUGGGCAUUUAGCUUGGGCUGUUGACCAGAGCACCUGCCUAGGGCCUCUCCAUGGCUUGGGCUUCUCAUAGCAUCAGUUCUGGGAAAAAUGUAUACAUAUACCUUGGCAAACUUUAAACACUGAAUUGCACAAAUGC